rnacentral:rRNA from 1 species
CUUUGGACAAUGGUAGGAGAGCGUUCUAAGGGCGUUGAAGCAUGAUCGUAAGGACAUGUGGAGCGCUUAGAAGUGAGAAUGCCGGUGUGAGUAGCGAAAGACGGGUGAGAAUCCCGUCCACCGAUUGACUAAGGUUUCCAGAGGAAGGCUCGUCCGCUCUGGGUUAGUCGGGUCCUAAGCUGAGGCCGACAGGCGUAGGCGAUGGAUAACAGGUUGAUAUUCCUGUACCACCUAUAAUCGUUUUAAUCGAUGGGGGGACGCAGUAGGAUAGGCGAAGCGUGCGAUUGGAUUGCACGUCUAAGCAGUAAGGCUGAGUAUUAGGCAAAUCCGGUACUCAUUAAGGCUGAGCUGUGAUGGGGAGAAGACAUUGUGUCUUCGAGUCGUUGAUUUCACACUGCCGAGAAAAGCCUCUAGAUAGAAAAUAGGUGCCCGUACCGCAAACCGACACAGGUAGUCAAGAUGAGAAUUCUAAGGUGAGCGAGCGAACUCUCGUUAAGGAACUCGGCAAAAUGACCCCGUAACUUCGGGAGAAGGGGUGCUCUUUAGGGUUAACGCCCAGAAGAGCCGCAGUGAAUAGGCCCAAGCGACUGUUUAUCAAAAACACAGGUCUCUGCUAAACCGUAAGGUGAUGUAUAGGGGCUGACGCCUGCCCGGUGCUGGAAGGUUAAGAGGAGUGGUUAGCUUCUGCGAAGCUACGAAUCGAAGCCCCAGUAAACGGCGGCCGUAACUAUAACGGUCCUAAGGUAGCGAAAUUCCUUGUCGGGUAAGUUCCGACCCGCACGAAAGGCGUAACGAUUUGGGCACUGUCUCAACGAGAGACUCGGUGAAAUCAUAGUACCUGUGAAGAUGCAGGUUACCCGCGACAGGACGGAAAGACCCCGUGGAGCUUUACUGUAGCCUGAUAUUGAAAUUCGGCACAGCUUGUACAGGAUAGGUAGGAGCCUUUGAAACGUGAGCGCUAGCUUACGUGGAGGCGCUGGUGGGAUACUACCCUAGCUGUGUUGGCUUUCUAACCCGCACCACUUAUCGUGGUGGGAGACAGUGUCAGGCGGGCAGUUUGACUGGGGCGGUCGCCUCCUAAAAGGUAACGGAGGCGCUCAAAGGUUCCCUCAGAAUGGUUGGAAAUCAUUCAUAGAGUGUAAAGGCAUAAGGGAGCUUGACUGCGAGACCUACAAGUCGAGCAGGGUCGAAAGACGGACUUAGUGAUCCGGUGGUUCCGCAUGGAAGGGCCAUCGCUCAACGGAUAAAAGCUACCCCGGGGAUAACAGGCUUAUCUCCCCCAAGAGUUCACAUCGACGGGGAGGUUUGGCACCUCGAUGUCGGCUCAUCGCAUCCUGGGGCUGUAGUCGGUCCCAAGGGUUGGGCUGUUCGCCCAUUAAAGCGGUACGCGAGCUGGGUUCAGAACGUCGUGAGACAGUUCGGUCCCUAUCCGUCGUGGGCGUAGGAAAUUUGAGAGGAGCUGUCCUUAGUACGAGAGGACCGGGAUGGACAUACCUCUGGUGUACCAGUUGUCGUGCCAACGGCAUAGCUGGGUAGCUAUGUGUGGACGGGAUAAGUGCUGAAAGCAUCUAAGCAUGAAGCCCCCCUCAAGAUGAGAUUUCCCAACUUCGGUUAUAAGAUCCCUCAAAGAUGAUGAGGUUAAUAGGUUCGAGGUGGAAGCAUGGUGACAUGUGGAGCUGACGAAUACUAA